UACGAAGGGGGGCUAGCGUUGCUCGGAAUUACUGGGCGUAAAGGGCGCGUAGGCGGCACGGCAAGUCAGGAGUGAAAGCCCUGGGCUCAACCCCAGAAACUGCUUUUGAAACGUGCCGAGCUAGAGUGCGGAAGGGGACGAACUGGAAUUCCCAGUGUAGCGGUGAAAUGCGUAGAUAUCGUCUGGAACGCCAAUGGUGAAAACAGCUCGCUGGGGGUUUGCUGACGCUGAGACACGAAAGCCAGGGGAGCAAACGGG
rnacentral:rRNA from 1 species